ACCCACUGAGCAAGGCCAGGGAUUGAACGCGCAUCCUCAUGGAUACUAGUAGGGUUUGUUAACUGCUGAGGCAUGAUGGGAACUCCUGGGCCUGAAAUUCUGACUUUGGAGUUUGAUUCCCUUGAGGUGACGUACUUCACCAAGUUAGGAAGCAAACCACCUGUGAGGGUUCCUUAUCACCUAAGUAUGACUUAAAUUAAUGGGAUUUCUCCAAAAUAACAGUAUGACAGAUCACAACACAGUCACAAAUGAUUUAUAUCUAUGUAUGUGUAUCCCUUUGCAAUGGAAUUUUCUGCCAUGCCACCCAUCAAAAAGUUGAGUUUAUUUCUCUAUCCUUUGAACUUGGGCUGGGACAGCUAGCUUCCUUUUAGCCAGUUAGAAAAUGUAGUCCAGAGUCUUGGAAGGUGCUUUCAAUUUUUCUUCUCCAGCUGCUGGGAAUCUUUCUGGCAUCCCAUAGAAAAACAUCCUGAAGGAUGAGAGACCACAUGAAAAAAGACUUUAAGCAUUCCUGUUGUCCUGGCUGGCUGUAGCCCAAAUGAACUGGCCUGAUCCAGAAGAGCUAGCUAGGCCACUCACAGAAUUGGGAGACAUUAGAAAUGGUUAAAUCAAAUUUUGUGGGGUUUUAUUAUGGGGCAAAAAGCAAUGAUUGAUAGAUCGAUAGAUAGACAGACAGAUAGAUAGAGUUGAGGUAGGUUGGGGAAGGAGGAGUGAAACAGAAAGGGAAAGGGAAGGAGCAAAGGCCUUGAUUAUAUUUGUGUAACUUGGGGGCCCUGGGUGCUUGGGCAGAGGCAGUGGAACCCCUCAGGAAAGUGAACUCCAGACAAGGCGGAAGGGGAUAUACUAAAACUAUACUUGACUCUUUCUCAUCGAUGAUCUUUUUAUAACUCCAGGAAAAAAAAAAAAAACAUUUAGAACAUGAGCAUUUCACCCAAAUGUCAGAGUUUUACUGUAAUUUGAACAAUCCAAAUGUAAUCUGACACUCCUGUUUACUUUUUGCUUUUUAUUUGAUAGUCCAGCAGAGAUGAAUCAUUUCUCAAUGGAUUCAAUGAGUUGCGUUUUGACCUAGAACUCUGAGUCUAAAUAUAGCCCUUAUCUGAAACUAGGAAACAUCAGAAGGGGAGGCUGACUCAAUUUGUUCUCUGUCAAACUCCUGCCACCUCAUUUUAACAUCCCACUGUGUUAAAGAACAGCAGACCCUGAGGUUCUGAUUCAGUAUCACAUCCUCAGUUGGAUAAUCCACUUUCUUCCUCCUCUGCCCUGUAUAUAAAAUUUUCUACCACUUAUGCAACGUGAAUAACCUACUCUGAGAUCUGGUUACUUGAAUGAUGUCUGUUUUGGAGAUCUUAAGCUUUCUGAGGGCAGGGACCUUAUCUUAUUCAUUCAGUUUUCCAUUGACUUAUUCAUCCAGGGAAGAAUGUUUAUUGCAGAGUGAUGCUUUAUUCCUGCUUUUAAGAAUCUGAUUGUCUAAACAGAGGAAAAAACAUAUAUCAAUUUUUUUAAAAUGUGUAAUGUUAAUAUUGAGUCUUUGCAAAGUGCUGUGUGAGCAGAGAAUUGCCUUGACUCCUCCUGCAUCUAUAUCCUAACUUGUAUUCCUGCUUCUACACCUGACUCCUUAAAGCCCAAUGUGCACUCAAUAACCAGAGGGAUUUAUUAAAAUAGAUUUUAUCAAUUCUCUGCUUUAAAAUUUCCAUUUAAACUUCUUACAGGCCUAACAAAUCCAGUGGGAUCUGUGGCCGCCUUGCUCUCUGCUGCUCCCUCAGUCAUGCUGGCUCCUUCAGCUCUUGGGAACCAGGCUUGCUCUCCAGCCUAGCGUCUUUGAACUAGUGGUUCUUGUCUCUGCAACUGGCUCCUUCUUGUCAUUCAGAGCUUAGCUCAGGUGGAUGGAUUCCUGACACCCAGUGUCAUAUGGCUUGCAUAACACUAAUUAAUUAGUGCCUCCUUCCAUCCCUUUCUCCCCUCUGCUUCCCUCCUUCUUUCCUGCCUGCCUUCCUUCCUUUCUCCCACUGACCUUCCUUUACUCUCUUACUUUUUUCCUUCCUUCUUUUCUUUCUUAACUUUGCUUCUUUCUCUGCAGUGGAAAGUUCAUCAGAACAGUGACCUUGUUCCCUCCCCGACCUUCCUGUAUCUGCCUCAUAAUAGGUGUUCGGUAAUAACUCUUUGAGUGUAUGAACAGAUGGAUAGAUUUCUGAAUGCUGCAAGUACUUUCUGGGUAGAAGAGGGGGAGAUAACUUUUCAGACAAAGAAAACAGCACCACAUUCAAAGACUCAAAAUAAAGAUCAAGUGCACUAGAUGCAUCAUAUUUUGUUGUGGCUGGACCAUAGGGUGUGAGGUGAGCUUGGAGAGAGCAGGGAAAUAAAAGGAGGUGAGAAGUGAAAGCUUAUAUAUAUAAAACACACAGAAAUGCAGACUUCUGCCACUUUCUGACAUUGCUGCCCUGCAGGAAGAGAGGGAAGUGGCCUUGACAAAAGAUACUGACAAAUUUGGUCUGCUGGAAUGACUCAGAAUUUUAACUUGACUAUUUUGUAGGCGUAUUUUUUUUUUUUUUUACAGUUUAAUGAAUGAGUUGGAAAUAUACUACUGAAUUGGCCAGAUAUGGGAAAUAUGUCUAUAAUCAUUUUGUGUCAUUUAUUCACUUGACUCUUACAACAAAUCAGGGUUAGCAGCAGUUUCAUUUAUAUUUUUCAUUUUUUGUUUUGAGCUUUAUUUAUUAUUUGUGAGGUUUAAAAACAGUUUGGGGAGACAGUGAAGAGGCUUUCCUUCACUUUGAUAACUUCCUCAUUUGUAAAACGGGACCAAUAACAAUGCUUAUCUCAAAGGGUAGUUGAAAAACUUAAAUGACUUAAGGCAUAUAGAGUGCUUUGAGCUGUCCUUGGCAUAACGACUAUUAGUCUUUAUCAUUAUCCUAAUCAUUUGCUGCUCUCAUAAGGAGAAACAUGAUGUAACUUUACAGAAGCAAUUUGACACUGGGUUCAAAAAUCUACUAUAAACGUGUUUACAUUUUGCUGGAGAGACAUACUUUGCCAUGCUGCAGUGUGAAGGCUUUGCUUGAUAAUGAUGAUUGUUAUCAUUUCUUGCAUGCUUUUAAAACAGGGUAUGAAUGAGGGCCACUCAAUUGAAUUGUGUCAAGUCUAUUGUUCUCAUGUUUAAGAACAAUGCAAAGGCCAGCAUAUACCAGGGAGAUCCUGGGUAAAGGUGAAAAGAGAAUCUUGGCAGAAACAGUGUUCUCUAGGAUGAAGAAAGCAUGCUUUCCUGGCAGCGGGGUCCUGGCAUUUUAAUCCAUUUAGUGAGCAUAUUGCUGUGGCCCAGUCUCUGUCUGUGGCUCUAGCCCUUCUCAUCAAGAUUCUAGAAUCCUUGUGGCCUGUGGUUCUUCUGCUCAGCUGGUCGUGAAGUCAGGAAGGAAGGGUGGAUCCGCUUGAGAUUUCCUGUCUUGCUGUGAGUCACUGAUACCAAGCACUUUUCUUGCACUUCUCUGUCUGCUAUCCGGAGAGCAGGAAUGCGGCCACAGACGUCAAACCGGAACCACCCUCUGCCUCAUGAUAACGGCUCUCACCAUGAAGAAGAUGAUGACUCAUGAGAAAGAAAGUCCUCCUGUACCACUUCCAUGGCCUGGAAAGGAGACUCAUUUUGAAGAUGGAAGGCAAAAUUUCCAAUUCUGACUCUGCUGGGAAAGACUGUAAGCCCACCUCACAGCUACUUCCCCUCCAAUCCCUGCCUGCCUGCAUUGCAAACAAACUGAAUUUGAAUAUGGUGUUUUGAGAUUCCUGUAAGUAAAUGCCUUGUAAAUAAAAAGUUUAAAGUAA